UACUGUGUAUGGCAUAGUGGUUUGAGUGUUGGACUACAACUCUGGAGACCAGGGUUCGAUUCCCAUCUCGGCCA